rnacentral:rRNA from 1 species
GCUUGUCUCAAAGAUUAAGCCAUGCAUGUGUUAGUAUAAACGCCUUUAUACUGUGAAACUGCGAACGGCUCAUUAUAUCAGUUAUAGUUUAUUUGAUACUUUUCGACUAUUGGAUAACCGUAGUAAUUCUAGAGCUAAUACAUGCGCCAAGUCCCGUCUUACGUCGGGAUGUAUUUAUUAGAUACAAACCAACAUCGUGGUGAUUCAUAAUAACUUUGCGAAUCGUAUGCCUCACGGCGACGAUGAAUCAUUCAAAUUUCUGCCCUAUCAACUUUCGAUGGUAGGGUAUUGGCCUACCAUGGCGUUAACGGGUAACGGAGAAUUAGGGUUCGAUUCCGGAGAGGGAGCCUGAGAAACGGCUACCACAUCCAAGGAAGGCAGCAGG